rnacentral:lncRNA from 1 species
CUACAUAAAACCGAAAAGAAGAGAACACAAAUAAGAAAACUGAAGUGUGUGAUCUUCUUGAGACAUAUAUAAAUCUUAAGGUAUGUUUGGUUCGAGAAUUUUUUUUUAUUUUUAAUUUUAAAAAAAAUGUUUUCGCAAACCAAACAGAUCGAUUAAACAUUAACGAUAUAAAGGUUGUUAUUUGUUAGUUCACCUCGGUCAUUGUAGGACGCCAAAUGGCAGUUUGUCUGACACAGUAUGAAGCAGUUAGGAUUACCCUAUACAGUUGCUCUGCAUCAUAUCUACCUUCCAUUCUUGGAUCAGCCAGCUCACCAAUAUUCCCUGAUUCCAUCAGAGGCUUUGCCUGUAUCAUGUUAAAAUGUGUUUGUUAAUUAACAGAGACUAAAAUGACGGGCUAUAUGAAAAUCGGUCAUUUUAGUCGGAGACUAAAAUGACGGAUUUUGUAUACUUGGAGACUAAGUUGAUGAUUUAUUUAAUGAAAAGUGUAUUUACCCAUAGGAGAAUAUUUUGCUUUGAUGAAUCAACAGGUUUGCGUCCGGUUACAAUCUCGAGAAGAAGAACACCAAAUGCAUAAAUAUCAGUUUUCUCAUCCACAAUACCAUGCAUAAAGACUUCUGGUGCUAGAUAUCCAAAUGUUCCCUCCACUGGGAUUACAGCAUGAUGAGUCCACUUGUUAGGAAGCCACUUUGCAAGUCCAAAAUCAGUUAUCUAAUAUAUGCAGCAACAAAAAAUAAUUGUUAAACUUUGACUUGUGUGAAUUGAAUUUGGUAAAACAAGAUAGUGUUAAUUGAAAUGGCUAUUCUAUAGUAUCUAUCUACCUGUGGUUCAUAAUCAGGACCAAGAAGAACAUUGGAGGCUUUAAUGUCGCGAUGAAUUAUUCGAUGUUUACAACAUGUAUGAAGAUAAUGAAGACCCCUUGCAACUCCAAUAGCUAUUUUGUAUCUUAUUGGCCAGUCAAGUGAGUUUUCUGCUUUACCUGAUAUAUUCAUUUCACUACAUUUAAAUCUCAUAUGACAUAACAAACGGUAACUACGUAGCACAAACACAAACACCAGGCACGACACCAUAUUGACACUGACACAUCGACACAAGUAAUUAUUUUAGCAAAUAGAAUUACUGAAUGCAUCAAGUAUUCAUAUGUAUCAGUGUCAUGUUCGUGUCAGACACCAGACACCAGACACACUUUCAAUAUGAAGUGUCGCUGCUAGAUAGGGUAAUUCGUGAAAAAUGAUAGUACAACGGGAGUUAGGUAUAAGGUUUACUCACCAUAACCAUGCAAUGCAGUUGACAAGUUUCCAUUUUGAGAGUAAUUGAAAAUCAGAUAAAGCCCAUUUUCAAUGCAAUAGCCUAACAAAGUUGCAGUAUUAGCAUGACAGACAUGUCCAAUAACACCUAACUCCAUAAGGAACUCUUUUUCCUUGUUUGGAUCAUUGUUGUCUUUGGCUAAUCUCUUCACAGCAAUGGUUUCUCCAUCACAAAGAACACCUUUGUAUACUUCUGAGUACCCUCCUCUUCCAACCAAAUUAUCUGUUUUCAAAAAACAAAAAAUGAAUACUAUAAAGAACCUUAAUUCAAUGUUUCCUAUGACCUUAAAUUAAUUGGUGAGCGCUCCGGUACACAUCUUAUUUGGAUAUGUAUGGGUACACCGCUGAUAUGUAUAAUUUUGAUAGGUUCACAAAUAGUGUUGAAUAAAGAAAAAAUAAUAAACAUUAUUUGGGAACCUAUCAGAAUCAUCCACCGCAGCAGACGUACCAAUACAUAUCUAAAUAAAAUGUGUAUCGAAUAAUCCACUUGAUUAUAUACCUUGGUGAAAGUCAUCAGUAGCAUUUGAUAUGUUUUCAUAGCUGAAGCACUUCAACAAGGGUUGAUGUUUUUCAGUUUUGGACAUGUUGAAGCUUUUUAUUCUGAAUGGUGAACCAAGGAAUGAUAUUAUGAACCUGAAUGACAAUUGUGAUUUUCUUAACUUUGAUUUUCUUUUAAUCUUGGGAUCAGAAGAAGGUGUAUAUGUCAUGCUUGAUGCUCUAGUGCUAAAUGUGUUAUCUUCUGUGCUGUUGUUGGAUUGUCCCUCUAGUCCAUCUAGCAGUACUGUUCUUGGUGAACUGUUUUGUGCAGUCAUUUCUGAGAUGAAAUCAAGGUACUUCAUUAAGUUUUUUGUUUUUUUUUUUAUUUAAAGAAAUUAUAUAAGGAAAUUUUUUUAUUAAUUAAAAUAACACUAAUAGUCGGUUUACAACGGGUUCCUGAUAGGAUUUGAACUCUGUUUGAUAAAGUUAUAAAGUCAAACUCUAACACUGAGCUAACACCUUAUGGAAAAAUAAUUCGAUUUUUAAGUAAUUCGUUGUUAUCCAAUGUAAUUUGUAUUUUGUUAACAUUACUUUAAGACAAAUUGAGUUACCUUGAAAAUGUGUGGAAUUUGAAUUGAUGUAAUUCUGUUCUGACUUUGUGUAUCUACCAACUGAGAUCAUUGUACAACCUUCAUCUAUAUGCUCAAAGCAAUACUUGGUAAUUCCUUUAGAGGUCCCAAUUCUAUCAACAAUACCAAAACAUAAAAAUAAGAGGGGUUGUCAUGUUACAAAUUAGGGGAAGGACAAAGAGGCCAAGUUUUCAACAAUAUCAAUAGACUGAGUUUAAACAUAAAUUAUCUAGAACAAAUCAUCAUUAUAAUAAUACCUAGUAUAAAAUCUGAUACUAAGCAAUAUACUCUCAGAAUAUCUAUUAAUAUUUAAUUUAAUAUAGAUAUAUUUUCUUAUAUAUUGUAACAUGUCACUGAUGUGAUUGAUCUUUAUGGAAUUUUAUAAAUGUUACACUCAGUUCUUACUUACUUAUUUGUUUUGUUUCUUGAUCCCCGGAGGAGAAGAAAAUCAGCAGAAAUUGACUUGGCUUCCUCCACUAAACCACCACCUACUGUGGAAUUAAGUGCCACUUUUGCCUCCAAAUUCACCUGAAAAUGAUGUUUCCAUCAGCAAUCUUUGAUUCUAAUAGCAAGUAUAUUAAAGUCU